rnacentral:rRNA from 1 species
GAUGAACGCUGGCGGCGUGCCUAAUACAUGCAAGUCGAGCGAACGGACGAGAAGCUUGCUUCUCUGAUGUUAGCGGCGGACGGGUGAGUAACACGUGGAUAACCUACCUAUAAGACUGGGAUAACUUCGGGAAACCGGAGCUAAUACCGGAUAAUAUUUUGAACCGCAUGGUUCAAAAGUGAAAGACGGUCUUGCUGUCACUUAUAGAUGGAUCCGCGCUGCAUUAGCUAGUUGGUAAGGUAACGGCUUACCAAGGCAACGAUGCAUAGCCGACCUGAGAGGGUGAUCGGCCACACUGGAACUGAGACACGGUCCAGACUCCUACGGGAGGCAGCAGUAGGGAAUCUUCCGCAAUGGGCGAAAGCCUGACGGAGCAACGCCGCGUGAGUGAUGAAGGUCUUCGGAUCGUAAAACUCUGUUAUUAGGGAAGAACAUAUAUGUAAGUAACUGUGCACAUCUUGACGGUACCUAAUCAGAAAGCCACGGCUAACUACGUGCCAGCAGCCGCGGUAAUACGUAGGUGGCAAGCGUUAUCCGGAAUUAUUGGGCGUAAAGCGCGCGUAGGCGGUUUUUUAAGUCUGAUGUGAAAGCCCACGGCUCAACCGUGGAGGGUCAUUGGAAACUGGAAAACUUGAGUGCAGAAGAGGAAAGUGGAAUUCCAUGUGUAGCGGUGAAAUGCGCAGAGAUAUGGAGGAACACCAGUGGCGAAGGCGACUUUCUGGUCUGUAACUGACGCUGAUGUGCGAAAGCGUGGGGAUCAAACAGGAUUAGAUACCCUGGUAGUCCACGCCGUAAACGAUGAGUGCUAAGUGUUAGGGGGUUUCCGCCCCUUAGUGCUGCAGCUAACGCAUUAAGCACUCCGCCUGGGGAGUACGACCGCAAGGUUGAAACUCAAAGGAAUUGACGGGGACCCGCACAAGCGGUGGAGCAUGUGGUUUAAUUCGAAGCAACGCGAAGAACCUUACCAAAUCUUGACAUCCUUUGACAACUCUAGAGAUAGAGCUUUCCCCUUCGGGGGACAAAGUGACAGGUGGUGCAUGGUUGUCGUCAGCUCGUGUCGUGAGAUGUUGGGUUAAGUCCCGCAACGAGCGCAACCCUUAAGCUUAGUUGCCAUCAUUAAGUUGGGCACUCUAAGUUGACUGCCGGUGACAAACCGGAGGAAGGUGGGGAUGACGUCAAAUCAUCAUGCCCCUUAUGAUUUGGGCUACACACGUGCUACAAUGGACAAUACAAAGGGCAGCGAAACCGCGAGGUCAAGCAAAUCCCAUAAAGUUGUUCUCAGUUCGGAUUGUAGUCUGCAACUCGACUACAUGAAGCUGGAAUCGCUAGUAAUCGUAGAUCAGCAUGCUACGGUGAAUACGUUCCCGGGUCU